UACUCAAGAAAAGGAUUUUAGUCCAGCCUAAAGCCUUCCCAGUCCCCCAAAACACAACUUUGACUUUAGAGUAAUUCAAAUAAGGUACAGCCUAUUUGAAAAAGGAUACAACCUAAGCUAACGGGUAAUAUUUUUAUCUUAUAACCAAGUGGGCUUAAAAGCAGCCACCUUUAAAAUAGCGUCAAAGCUUUAUUAUAACGGUUAUUAAUUCCUUUCAAUAUACAUAACCCUUUAAUUCUAUUGAGUAAUUCUAUAUUAUUAUAGAACCUACAAUGUUAAAACUAGUAACAAGAAGAAGACCUUCUCUUAAAUGCAAGUGUAAAUCAACAAGGACUAACCACUGAUAAUUAACACCCAUGAAAAUAUUUUAGUAACCUUACAAGAAAAUUCUAAUAAACUAUGUGUUAACCUAACACAAGAGCAUUACAAGAAAGAUUUAAAGAAAAAGAAGGAACUCGGCAAACAUUAACCUCGCCUGUUUACCAAAAACAUCGCCUCUUGAUUAACUAUAAGAGGUCCAGCCUGCCCAGUGACUCUGUUCAACGGCCGCGGUAUCCUAACCGUGCGAAGGUAGCGUAAUCACUUGUUCUUUAAAUGAGGACUUGUAUGAAUGGCACCACGAGGGUUAUACUGUCUCCUUUUUCUAAUCAGUGAAACUAAUCUCCCCGUGAAGAAGCGGGGAUAAAAAUAUAAGACGAGAAGACCCUAUGGAGCUUUAAACUUAAUAGCAAAUACUAGCCACAUAUCAACUUCCAGAAAAUCAACUGUUACUUUAGUACUAUGACUAUUAGUUUUAGGUUGGGGUGACCGCGGAGUAAAAAUUAACCUCCAUAUUGAACGGGAUUUAUCCCUGAACCAAGAGCCACAACUCCAAGCACCAACAAAUUGACAUUAAUUGACCCAAUAUUUUGAUCAACGAACCAAGUUACCCUAGGGAUAACAGCGCAAUCCACUUCAAGAGCUCCUAUCGACAAGUGGGUUUACGACCUCGAUGUUGGAUCAGGGUAUCCCAGUGGUGCAGCCGCUACUAAAGGUUCGUUUGUUCAACGAUUAAAACCCU
rnacentral:rRNA from 1 species